rnacentral:rRNA from 1 species
UACGUAGGGCGCAAGCGUUGUCCGGAAUUAUUGGGCGUAAAGAGCUCGUAGGCGGUCUGUCGCGUCGGCUGUGAAAACCUGGGGCUCAACUCCAGGCCUGCAGUCGAUACGGGCAGACUAGAGUUCGGUAGGGGAGACUGGAAUUCCUGGUGUAGCGGUGAAAUGCGCAGAUAUCAGGAGGAACACCGGUGGCGAAGGCGGGUCUCUGGGCCGAAACUGACGCUGAGGAGCGAAAGCGUGGGGAGCGAACAGG